AAUAGAUACCCCGGUAGUCCACGCCGUAAACGAUGAAUGCUAGGUGUUAGGGGUUUCGAUACCCUUGGUGCCGAAGUUAACACAUUAAGCAUUCCGCCUGGGGAGUACGGUCGCAAGACUGAAACUCAAAGGAAUUGACGGGGACCCGCACAAGCAGUGGAGUAUGUGGUUUAAUUCGAAGCAACGCGAAGAACCUUACCAGGUCUUGACAUCCCUCUGACCGUCCUAGAGAUAGGGCUUUCCUUCGGGACAGAGGAGACAGGUGGUGCAUGGUUGUCGUCAGCUCGUGUCGUGAGAUGUUGGGUUAAGUCCCGCAACGAGCGCAACCCUUGAUCUUAGUUGCCAGCACUUUGGGGUGGGCACUCUAGGAUGACUGCCGGUGACAAACCGGAGGAAGGUGGGGAUGACGUCAAAUCAUCAUGCCCCUUAUGACCUGGGCUACACACGUACUACAAUGGCCGAUACAACGGGAAGCGAAACCGCGAGGUGGAGCCAAUCCUAUCAAAGUCGGUCUCAGUUCGGAUUGCAGG
rnacentral:rRNA from 1 species